rnacentral:rRNA from 1 species
CACGCCGUAAACGAUGGAUACUAGGUGUAGGAGGUAUCGACCCCUUCUGUGCCGCAGUUAACACAAUAAGUAUCCCACCUGGGGAGUACGGCCGCAAGGUUGAAACUCAAAGGAAUUGACGGGGGCCCGCACAAGCAGUGGAGUAUGUGGUUUAAUUCGAAGCAACGCGAAGAACCUUACCAGGGCUUGACAUACCCUUGACCGGCAUAGAGAUAUGCCUUCUCUUCGGAGCAGGGGAUACAGGUGG